UGGGGAAUAUUGCACAAUGGGCGCAAGCCUGAUGCAGCAACGCCGCGUGAACGAUGAAGGUCUUCGGAUCGUAAAGUUCUGUUGCAGGGGAAGAUAAUGACGGUACCCUGUGAGGAAGCCCCGGCUAACUACGUGCCAGCAGCCGCGGUAAUACGUAAGGUCCGAGCGUUGUCCGGAAUCAUUGGGCGUAAAGGGUACGUAGGCGGAUAAGCAAGUUAGAAGUGAAAUCCUAUAGCUCAACUAUAGUAAGCUUUUAAAACUGCUCAUCUUGAGGUAUGGAAGGGAAAGUGGAAUUCCUAGUGUAGCGGUGAAAUGCGCAGAUAUUAGGAGGAAUACCGGUGGCGAAGGCGACUUUCUGGCCAUAUACUGACGCUGAGGUACGAAAGCGUGGGUAGCAAACAGG
rnacentral:rRNA from 1 species